rnacentral:siRNA from 1 species
AGCUAUAGCGAGAUUCACGAUGGA